rnacentral:rRNA from 1 species
ACCCGAAACCAGGUGAUCUACCCUUGGUCAGGUUGAAGUUCAGGUAACACUGAAUGGAGGACCGAACCGACUUACGUUGAAAAGUGAGCGGAUGAACUGAGGGUAGCGGAGAAAUUCCAAUCGAACCUGGAGAUAGCUGGUUCUCUCCGAAAUAGCUUUAGGGCUAGCCUCAAGUGAUGAUUAUUGGAGGUAGAGCACUGUUUGGACGAGGGGCCCCUCUCGGGUUACCGAAUUCAGACAAACUCCGAAUGCCAAUUAAUUUAACUUGGGAGUCAGAACAUGGGUGAUAAGGUCCGUGUUCGAAAGGGAAACAGCCCAGACCACCAGCUAAGGUCCCAAAAUAUAUGUUAAGUGGAAAAGGAUGUGGCGUUGCCCAGACAACUAGGAUGUUGGCUUAGAAGCAGCCAUCAUUUAAAGAGUGCGUAAUAGCUCACUAGUCGAGUGACACUGCGCCGAAAAUGUACCGGGGCUAAACAUAUUACCGAAGCUGUGGAUUGUCCUUUGGACAAUGGUAGGAGAGCGUUCUAAGG